CUUAGGGGCAGUUGGGAGGGGACUCCCUAAAGGAAAAUCUGGGUGCUGUUCCUUCAAGAUGAGAGCAUGAGACUGAGAUGACAGUAACCCUGCAGGCCUAGGUGGGAGCUUCCAGUGCCUCUUGUCAUCAUUCUGGUAUGUCCAGGAAGUGGGAGGUGGCACCAAUGUGUAGCCACCCUGCCUGAGCCCACCAGCCUUGGAGUCAGAACACCCUGGGGUAAAUCCUGGCUCAGCUCUUCUCAGCUAUGUGAUCUCGGCUACAGGGCAAGGCUUAACCACUGCUGACCUAAGUCUUGGAGGGAUACCCCAUGGUCACCCAGAUCAUGAGAAGUCAGGCCACCACCACUGAGCCAUGUGGUUAUCCCAUCCAGCCUGCCACCACUGGACUGUAUGUACCGCAGUUCUCCUAUCCAGCCCACCACCACUGGACUCUCUCUCCUGUAUGUAAGCCCCAAAUAAAACCUCA
rnacentral:lncRNA from 10 species